rnacentral:tRNA from 1 species
GGGGGUGUAGAUCAAGUGGUAGAGCACAUGCUUAGGAUGCAUGAGGUCCUGGGUUCAAUCCCCAGUACCUCCU